rnacentral:rRNA from 1 species
CUACGUAGGUGGCAAGCGUUGUCCGGAUUUACUGGGUGUAAAGGGCGUGUAGGCGGAGAUGCCAGUCAGGAGUGAAAUCUAGGGGCUCAACCCCUAAACUGCUUUUGAAACUGUAUCCCUUGAGUCUCGGAGAGGCAGGCGGAAUUCCUAGUGUAGCGGUGAAAUGCGGUGAUAGUAGGAGGAACACCAGUGGCGAAAGCGGCCUGCUUGACGAAAACUGACGCUGAGGCGCGAAAGGGUUGGGAGCAAACAGGAUUAGAUACCCUGGUAGUCCACGCUGUAAACGAUGAAUACUAGGUGUGGGGGGACUGACCCCCUCCGUGCCGCAGUUAACACAAUAAGUAUUCCACCUGGGGAGUACGAUCGCAAGAUUGAAACUCAAAGGAAUUGACGGGG